UGUCGUUACAGACGCAAUGCGGGUGUCGGGAUGUAAGGAGCAAUGGCGACGGCCGAGCUGGUUUGGAGGCGAAUUGGAGCCGAAUUUGACCAACGGGGAGCUGCUCAGACCCUUUCACCUUUCUGAAAAUGAAGAGUGCGUCCUCUUCCGCCUUCCAUGUCCCGCCCCCCUCCAUCAAGCAGAUGUCAACAACACCCAGCCUGGCGGCCAAACAGAGAGACAUACGCAAGGCGCCGUCCUCCGUCACCCCGGCCUUCCUCGCCGACCUGGGCAGAGCCACCCUGCGGGGGAUCCGCAAGUGUCCCCAGUGUGGCGUUUACAACGGCACCCGCGGGCUCAGCUGCAAGAACGCCGUUUGCGGCAUAUCCCUCCGGAACGCCUCGGCGGAGGCCAGGAGGGGCAGGAAGGACGUCGUCGACGCGGUGAAAGUCAUCAUCGACGGCGAGGAGAAGGACCACCAGGGAGCGCAGGUGUUUUCGGUGUGUCAACGAGGAAGAGGGGGCGCUCAGUUCGGCUUCGUCGAGCUGGUCGCCACCAACGCCGCCAUCGCCACGGGCGACAGAGCCUCCCUGCUGUCCCACAUCAACCUGGGCCGCUGCUUCAUGGCCGCCUGCAAACAGGGUCAAAAGGCGUCCUACGAAAUCCCCUGCGUUCACAUCAAGCAAGCCGCCGAGUGCGCCGACCUCGCCACGCCGCUCAGCGUCAAGAGUUCCGUCCUGGAGGCUCUGCAAGCCUCCGUUCAAGCCAAGGAGGAGCUCUGGAGGCUGGCCACCGAGUCCCCGGGGCCCCUGGUGCAGCGCGUGUCCAGGGACACCCUGGUGGUGAAAUGCAACCCGAAUCCCCGGCACUCCCACGGCCUGCUGCACCUCACCGUGGCGGCCGGCGGGCGGGCCGAGGCGCCGAAAAGCGACGUGCGACAGCAGGCGGUGUUUCGCUGCACCUGCCAAGCGGGCGGCAGGAGAGGCAGGGCGGACGGGGCCGAGCCGGCGGGGGGGCCGUCGAAGCCCUGCCUGCACUUCUACGCCUGCGUGUGCGCCUUGGCGAGCGACGAGAAGCUGGCCGCGGAGUUUGCAGCUUUUAUCAAGUCCUCGUUAAACGGCGUGCUACCAAACCCCACCUGCCGAGUCAUCGUUCCCUGCGAGAGGCCGCUGCUGCAUGGCGAAGCGGGGAAGUCUCCACACAAGGCCAAGAAGCUGCGCCAGGAGGAAACCCUCUCCGGUGGAAGUGGUCAGGCCGUGGACGAGCACUCCGUGUCGUUGGGGUUCCACCAGUGGUUGGCCGGCGUCACGGAAAGGAUCCACCAUACGAUGCACUACCAGUUUGACGGGAAACCACAACCUCUGGUGUACCACAUACCUCAACAGUUCUUUAAUGCCCUGCAGCAUCGCCUGUCGCUCGGCUGCAAGAGGAGGCUGCCUAACAUCACCACAGUGGUCGUGCGGAACGACUCCCCCUCUUUGGGCUCGUUCUCCAAGUACACCUGGCACAUCACCAACCUGGCGCAGGUCAAACGUAUCUUCGACACCCCCGAGUUGCAGCUGGAGCUCACUCAGAGUUUUGUCAAGAACGGCGACGGCUCCUACUCGCGCUUUCGCUGUCUGCUACCGCCGCCCGAACUGGACCUGCGGGAGGGACUCAGACCGGAUCGGCCGCCAGCGAUUCGACCCAGGGAGCUGCAGACCUUCCUGAGAGUCGGGUCCGCCUCGGACGACCGUCCGUUCGAGAUCGAGUGGACCCCCGAUGUGCUCCCGCUUUGCCACGUGGGCGAGCUGAGGAUCAGCUUUGAGUUCGGCCACCAGCAGAGCGGACACCAGGCCGACUCGUCGGAGUGUUGGAAAAGCAACGUGACUCCGGCGCCCUCCCACGCCAAGUGAGCGCCGUCGCGCCCUUUCGCGGGACACUUCAUUAGGAGGCUGGAGUCUAUCCCAGCUGCACUCAAGGUCAGGCUCCACCCGGGACUAAUCACCACCUCAUCACAGCAUUUUGUCGACGUCCGAGUCAUCCGUCAACAAACGUCAAAGUUGAGGCUUUGACUUAUUUUGCCGGCGUGGCCCGAAAGCUGCCGGAGCUGGGAACAGCUGCCCGUGGUCGUGCGAGGAGCAGGCGGAGGGAAAGUGACGAUGACGUCGACCGAUUCAAGCGGGAAAAUGUCCGAGUGGG